GACGUUCAAAAAAAGGGAAGUGAAGGAAAUAUAGACUAACACACAAGCAAUGAGUGUCGAUCCGAUUGUCCUAAAGAACAACUGGAACAAGGUUCGACAUCUUCUAUUUGGAUGGUAGUUGCUAUAGUUCUCUUCAAGGAGAGGUUCCUCUCAAUCUUGCUAGUAAGUUGGGUAGUUUUGUUUCCUAUCUUUCUUCCAUUUCAUAUUGUACCAAAAUGUCCCAAGGUUCGUACAUAGUAGGAGGAAUUGCACAUGAAAGUAAUGUACUACAUACAUAUAAGGAGAUAUUGUACACAAAGGUAACACACUAUAGAAUAUAGGUGCAUAAAGGGAAAAUUGCAAAAACUAGUGAUAGAUAGCGUUUAAUAUCUCUAUCUUGAAGAUGCAUAUAAUCAUUACAUUUCAUACGAUUUACCCUAAUUAUGAUUUUAAGUAGGCUGAGAUAAAAGCUAUCUUGUUGUGUAUACGAAAUUAACACCUUUUAUUUUUUUUUAUACGCGUAAGUAAUUUAAAAAAAAAAGAGAUUAUAAGUAUGUAAUAAAGACAAGUCUAGCUCUGAUAUUAAUUUAUCAAUAACUAAAAAUAAUCGAAAUUAAAAAAUCUGGUAAUUUAUCAAUCCAUAAACAUUGUAAAAUCAAAACUCCAAAAAAAUAUCUUGUUGCUAAAACAACUUGUAAAAUUAUAUAUAAUCAUGUAAAUUAUAUAGAUGAUAGACUAUAAUAGACAUUCUCCAGUCUCCACAUAUACAUUUACAACGCAUGCGACAUCGUAUUGGUCGUGUAAUCAUCGUUGACAUUUUGUUGGAUCCAUGAUAUGUUGUCCUGUGAGUCAAAUUGAACUUUUGACUUUUGAGAUGAGUUAGCCAAUUAUAAAUGAAAUUGGUUUUUUCAUAUUUAAUAUAAAGUAUAUUUGAAAAGAUAUUCUCCAUCGUUUAAGAUGUUAUAUUAUAUACCUUUGAAGUUUUAAUUUUAUAACUAUACUAGUAUUUACGACCCGCGCUUUGCGGCGGGACUGUUAAACCGAACAAAUAGUAGACGUAAAAACGUUGAACCAUACACGCGCGUUCCAACGUAUUAACUUGCAAAAAUUAAACUGAAACAUAAAACAUCGAAAAGAAAAACUAAGUUGACAUAGCACCCCGUGCAUUGCGAUAGAGCCGUUAAACUGCAAAACAAAAUAAUGUAAAAACUUUGUACCACACUCGCGCGUUGGGGGUGUUAAUUUGUAAAAUUUAGACCCAAAAGUAAAACGACGAAUUUUUAAAAGAUGAAAAGUGAACAAAGUUGAAAAUAAAAAAGUAUUGGAUAAAAAAACUUGUGACAAAAAUAAAAAAGACAAAAAGGUAUAGGUCAAAAAAGUGUAAAAUAUUGAAUUACACCUCUUAGUUACAAACCAAAAAUUGGUAAAAAGAGGAAUAUAUGAACUAAUGGUUCAAUGGACCAAUAAACAAAAAGAAAAAUGAAUUGUGCAUUAGUUAGUUGUACACAUUGCUUUUAUCUACAUAUACAUAUAUAAAUGAGAUGGAUUUGGGCUAUGUGGCCUUUGUAUUUGGCCAUCUAGGCUGAUGUGGCAAUUUGGUUUAGGAGGGAAAUCCCAUUUUGCUUUCUACAAUCACGAUUCCAAGUAAAAAGAGGCGGGAUCCGAAUUGAGUUGGGUCGGGUUUUUCGAAUUCGGGUCAUAGUAUAUAUUUCCUUUUUUUUCUCAUUCUUCUUGCACACACUUUACAAACCCUAAAAAACUAAGUUGCAUCCUCUCUCCUAUCACCACCACCAAGAUCCUCAAUUCUAAACCAUAGCCAAACCUCUGCAACAUCAUCUUCUUCACACAAAUCAAUCCUAUUAACCAAUCAAAGGUAUGUUUCUAUGUUUUUGAUUUUAUUGUUUCUGAUUUCAUUGUUUUACGAUUGUAAUCUACACAAUCGAUCCUAAAUCUGCUUUAUUUAUGUUAUUCAAUUCUAUAGAAACUUGAUUUUAUAAAGAUUGUGUCGAAUGCAUUUAAUUUCUUCUUUGUCCUAAACUUUGUAGAUCUGAUCAUAAAAAUUGAAGGUAUGUUGUUUUAAUUUGUUGUUUAUCUAUUGUGUAUCUUUAAUCAAGCGAUUGAACAUUUAUCUUUUUGUUUUUUUGCAAACAAAAUCAAGAUCAAAGGUUUUAUUAUCAUCAUCUACAUUUAUCAAAGUUACUGAUUUUUGUUGAUUUUGUUUUUCAUGUGGAACCCUAAAUCUUGGAUAAAAUCGGACUCCGAUCAUUCGUGAAACAACAGAAGUUAGUUAAAUGUUAUAGUUGUUUUCUUUUUUUUAAGUUUGUGUAGAUUUGAUUUUAACCUUUCUGUUCGGUAUUUUUUUUUCAAAAAUUAAAAACAUAUGUUCUGAAUGUUUUAUGGUUUGUUUUUCUAAUGGUAAACCCUCAAUCUUUUGUGACAAUUGGACUCGAAUUGUUCGUCGACUAAAACAGUUUUCUAUUUGCAAUUGAGGUUUUGUUUUGAUCAAAGUUGAGUUAUGCAGGUAAAUGGGGGAUAUCUACAAAUUUUGAUGGUACACGGCUUUUCAUUAACGACAAUUUUGAUCAGAUGCUGACAUUCAAGGAAAAAAUCUUAAUACAAUGUUGGGUCGAAGAUGCUGGAGAAUGAACUUAAGCGUAAUUUGGAUGCCGUUUAUGAUGUGGAUUUAUGUUCUUCUCAGUCUUCCACUAAACCGCGUAUGGGUGAUUGUGAGAACAAUGAAGGUUUGUAUUUGAAAGCAAAGCUGGAAAAGUAGUCUCAGGAUUUAAUAGUCAUUUCAGAUUUUUCAAAGAUUUUCUGAUGUUUUAUUUUGUUUAAUCUUUGUCGGAACAUUUAUUUCAGUACUUGAUGUUGGGUUUGAUAUUGAUUU
rnacentral:lncRNA from 1 species